rnacentral:rRNA from 1 species
GAUGAACGCUGGCGGCGUGCCUAAUACAUGCAAGUCGAGCGAACAGACGAGGAGCUUGCUCCUCUGACGUUAGCGGCUGACGGGUGAGUAACACGUGGAUAACCUACCUAUAAGACUGGGAUAACUUCGGGAAACCGGAGCUAAUACCGGAUAAUAUAUUGAACCGCAUGGUUCAAUAGUGAAAGACGGUUUUGCUGUCACUUAUAGAUGGAUCCGCGCCGCAUUAGCUAGUUGGUAAGGUAACGGCUUACCAAGGCAACGAUGCGUAGCCGACCUGAGAGGGUGAUCGGCCACACUGGAACUGAGACACGGUCCAGACUCCUACGGGAGGCAGCAGUAGGGAAUCUUCCGCAAUGGGCGAAAGCCUGACGGGGCAACGCCGCGUGAGUGAUGAAGGUCUUCGGAUCGUAAAACUCUGUUAUUAGGGAAGAACAAAUGUGUAAGUAACUAUGCACGUCUUGACGGUACCUAAUCAGAAAGCCACGGCUAACUACGUG